UGCAGCGCAGGCUGGGCGGCGGGAGUCACGUGCCCGCGCCUAGGCCCCGUCCCCCACGCCCCGCGCCGCUGCCGGUAGGGCCGGGACUGCGUCCGUCCGUCGCCCCGGAAACGCGGCAGGAGCGGCGGGGGGGUGUCGCGGGCACGCGCGCUCGGCAGCAGCAGGCGGCGGAGGAAGCGUGUCGAGGCCGCCUCAGGCCCGCUUUGACACCCUGCGGCACCGACAUGAGCGCUGGGGCAGCGCCGGCCCCGGCCCGGCACCGCCCCGAUGGAGGCCGGGUCUCUGCACAGCCGGAGGGCGGGGGGCGGGGGGAGCCGGAGGGGCAGGAGCAGGCGUUGUGUCCGGGUGCGCACUCCAGAGCCGCCCGCCCCCCGCGCAGACACGCGCCCCGGCUGCGCUAGAGUCCGCACCCAGUGUUUGUAGGGGGUAGGGCGGGGUGUGGAUAUCCACAUAUACACUUGUACAUGUAUACACAUACGUGUGCACGUCAGUAUACAUACUUGGAAAGAGUGCGUGUGGCAGUGCACAUACACGUCUGCCUGUUUGUGUACACCUGCAUGCACGCACACAAACACGUGCACACUGCACACACGGUAUGCACAUGCACCCCAUGCGCUGCACUGUGUGUAUACACCUACACAUACAUAUGCGUGUGCAUGCAUGUACGUACACACACACACACACGCAUGUAUGUGGCUGCAUGGGCUCACAUACAGAGUGAGUGAGCGUGAGGCGAGCACUGGGUGGAUUUGAGCACUCGAUUCCCAGAGCAGUGGGUGCGGGGGACAGAGUUUGGUGGAGUCGCCCUUUACAAUGAGAUCCCUUUUAGCCCAGGGAGGUGAAUCCGGGCGACCCCUUUCACUGGAAGCUCAUGGGCACGUGCAGCCCUUGCUGGUGCUGUUCUUGUUUUUCCUAGCCCAUGCUGCCUGCCCAGCUGGACGUGGCCCAGGUGUAAGAGUUAAGGCUGGUUCAAUACUUAGAUUUCUGCAGUAACCUUAGGAGUGGUGUUGGUUGUCGUAUGCACCACGUAGACUCACUGAACCAGAGAUGCAUCAGCUUUUGUAAGCAUCUGGCAAAAAUCAACUUUUUUUUCCAGCAACAUCCCAAAUAAAGAAACCUUACAAGAUUGUCUCGGUACAUGAAAUGUCAGUCUCAGCUGGGCUCCUUUGUGAUAUUAGCUCUAUUAGGCAUGUAAACACCUGUAUGUGAUUCACAGGACAAACCUCGAGAUUUCAGGUAGGAAGCCAUAGCUUCAGAAGCCGUUCGUAUCUGCUGUGGUCUAAGCUCUUGGCAAGAGGUAGGGGUGGGAGUCAGUCUACUAUUUUUCAUAAUGAAAAAAUGAGUGAAAUUUUUGAAAUGCAGGUGCCACAAAAUUCAGGCAAGUUACAGAAGGGCACCUGGAGCUGAAAAAGGCUGAGAAACCAGUGUACUAGGUACAGGAAGCCAUGAUGAUAGCUUUCUCUACAGCAUCUUAAAUAGCAACUGGAUAUAUUUUUCAUGCCUGUUAAUGGGGACUGAUUUCAGAAAUGCUCCGGUGAAGACAUUAAGUAGGACUGGAAUUGUCUCCUCGUUUUAUUCACCUUAGGCCUAAAGGCCUCAAGUUGCAGUUUGUUCAUUACUGUACCUGCCAGUUUUCAGGGACUCUCCAGCGCUUGACACUCCUCACUUCCCUCUCCAGCGCUCUGCGCCGUCUUCCCCAGGGCACUAAAGUUCCUGGUUAUGCCUCUGGCUUUGCUUACACAAAAAAUUGACCCAGUUUACCUCUGGUUUACUCAAUCUGGCCAAUUUAAGUAGUGCACACCAAUUCACAGGUGGUUUUCUUGGUGUAGCUUGUGUUGAUAACUUUUUUAAACCAAUUUUAAUUAAAUAGGCACAAUAUCUGGCUCGGUGAGGCCUGAAACAUUAUUUCCCACACCCUUUGCAUAGUCAUGCAUGCACAUAGGAAAAGAAAGGAGAAAGUGCUUGAUGAAGUUACGGAACCACUUUGAUCUCAGUUAAUUUACUACAUAUCUGCUCCCUGACAUAGGAAGUUGCUUGGCUUACCUUUCUAGUAGGAUCUAUUCAUUUAGCAAUAGCAGUUAUAAUUAUGCUUUAAAAAUACUUACAGUAAAAUCUGAUUUCACAUGCUCCUGCAUUUUGGGGGGAGGGGAAAAAUCUUGACUAGAAAGUCUCACUUCUUGAAUGAAACUUUCCGUGCUUCAAAGCUCUCAAAGCUAAACAGAAUUAUUGAAAACUAGGGUUGGAAGGGACCUCAGGAGGUCACCUAGUCUAAUGCCCUGCUUGAAGCAGGACUACCCCCAACUACAUCACCCCACCAAGGCUUUUAAAAUUUCCAAGUGAACAUAAGUAAUAGGUUUAGAUGCCAAAAAUGAGUCCAGUAAGGCAGUUAUUUUAGUACUGUAGUGUAUAUGAAUCAUUGUGUUCCUGUGAACUUGAACGUGUAGGAAGAAUUAUAUUUGUCAAUCUUCUUUUGUUAAAUAGAAACCAAAAGACUUAUCUAGGCAGAAUUGUGGUGGGGGAUAUUUAUUCCAGUUUUUGCUAUAAUUUUAAAUCUUCCAAUUUGAAUGUUGUAUCACUGGGAUUUUUACCUUUAAAUGGGUAAAGUAUUGUCAUGAAAUACUGUAUGAUGCACACCCAAAGAGAAAGUACAAUGUAUUUUAAGGUUGGGAAAUUAUAUUAGAGCAAAUAGAAGCAAAAGUGUCUAGCCAAACCAAUAAUUACCCUUCCAUGAAUACUAGAUUCUGUUUCUCACCUGUCUAAACGCUUUCCUCUGGUGAGAUAGUAUCAUCUUUUUACAUUAAUCUUAGGAUUUAGUAUGGGAUAUUUUAAAAAUUGCUCUUCUGUGUAAAGUUAAGACUAACAGUCCUGAUUUCCUCAAUGCUGGAAAAAGCCCCUCUUUUUCCUGAUUUACAUACUUAGAAACAUGUUUCUAUUUUAACAAUGAUUGAUGGAGGUUGGGCGUUUUGCUUUUGUUUUGGCGAGUCUUUGCUUUUACACUGGUAUGUGGUAUCAUAAGUGGUAGGUGAUUUCCCUUGUGGAGUGGGGGGUGGGGUUCCAAAGAGGAAAUCAUCCACUAUGAAUGCUUUGGGCUUGAUUCAGUACUCUGUAAAGUCAAUGAAAAGACUCCCAUUCAUCUCAGUGUCAAUUGGAUUGGAUCCUUAAAAUGGCUUUUCUUGGGGAAACAAGAAAGAUUAAAAAUAGAUUUAAAAAAUAAAUAAAAAAACAAGACGGCUUAAAAAUAGAAUGAAAAGUUUUGACUUUUAAGCUGCUAGUUCAGGUCUAGUAAAGGCUGGUAGGGAAUAAAAGUCGUAACUGUUUGGGAACCUUUUGGCCUUUUUGAAGAUAGGCUAGUAUGAUUUGUGGUGGAAAAGCAUCAAACCCUACUUUCCAGCUUUUCUUGUGCUGUUUUCAAGGUUGCUUUGAAGACUGUUUGUUGGCUCUGUUAAUAUCUUUGGAAAUGGUGAUUUGUAUUGGACAUGGAACUUUUGUAACUCUUGGAAAGGAUUUCUAAAUGUAUUGUCUACAGAACUAACCGUGGGUAUUUUUAGAGUCCAAAAUGUGAACUGAUUCACUAAUUGAGAAAUUAACUGUUUUUUCUUCUUCUUUCAGCGCUACAACUUGUUGUGAAGCAUUUACAGCUGCUCCACUUGUGCAUAUUUUCAAACAGGCAGGAUCUUUUGAAAACGAUACCUCAUGUUAUAUUAUUAAAAUGGCUAUCCAUACAAGGCUGAGUGUAAAAAUGAAAAUGCUGACAGGUUCAAGCAGGACAGUUUCAGGAAUGUAUGACUUGAGAGAGGCAGCCAGACAGACAAUCCAAAUGCUUCAGUUGGCAGGAUGAAGUGAUAUGCUAAUGUAAGAGAAAAGGCCGCGGUGAGCGAAGCAUUUGCAGAAGAGUUACAAAGAAGAAACACUUGCCCUUAUCUGUUCUACUGUACCGAGCCAGCAAUUCUACACAAAGCGGUUAUGUCAUCUUAUAACUAAAAUAAUCAAAGUUUAAGGCAUAUAUUUUUUCUGAUUCCACGCUAGCCAGUAGGUGCGCUGGAUAUUUUUACGUCCUAGGUGCAGUACUCUGCAUUUGUCCUUGUUGUACUGCGUCCUGUUGUGUUCAGCCCGCUUUUCCAACCUGUCCAGGUCUGCCUGCAGUCAUUCCCUACCCUCCAGAGUGCUUACUUCACCCCACAAUUUAGUAUCAUCUGCAGACUUGGACACAGGACACUUCACGCCCACAUCCAAGUCACUGAUGAAGACACUGAAGAGUACAGGUCUGAGGACUGAGCUCGGUGGGACCCCACUACCCGGAUCCUUCCAGGUCAAUACCGACCCGUCUACUACCACUCUCUGGGUGCGACCCGCAAGCCAAUUUGCCACCCACCAGACCGUUUAAACAUCUAAGUCACAGCCUCUUAAUUUAUUUAAGAGAAUGGGAUGAGAUACCGUAUCGGAGGUCUUCCUAAAAUCCCAAAAAACAACAUCCACCUCUACUUCUGCAUCAGCAUUUUGUGACCUGGUUAUAAAAUGAAACCAGAUUAGUCAGGCAUGAUCUACCUGCUGCAGAUCAAUGCUGGUUGCCCUGCUUUAUCAACGAUUUGGAAGACGGGGGUGAAAAGCAGUCUGUUCAAAUUUGCUGAUGAUACCAAAAUAUGGGGAGAGGUGGGCACGUUAGCAGGGAGGGAGAGACUGCAGAAAGACCUGGAUAGGUUGCAGGGGUGGGCUAACAAAAACAGGAUGCGUUUCAAUAGUGACAAGUGCAGGGUGCUGUACUUGGGCAGUAGUAACCAGCAGCACACUUAUAAGAUGGGAAACUCCCUUCUUGAGAGCACGGAGGCAGAAAGGGAUCUUGUAGUCAUUAUUGACUCCAAGAUGAACACGGGCCGACAAUGCGAGGUCACAGUCGGCAGGGCUAACCAGACUGUAUCGUGCAACCGCAGGUGCAUCUCAAGUAGGUCCAAGGAGGUGAUCCUCUCCCUCUACGCGACACUGGUCAGGCCGCAGCUGGAGUAGUGUGUCCAGUUCUGGGCACCCCACUUCAAGAGGGAUGUGGACAACAUCGAGAGGGUCCAGAGGAGGGCCACCCGCAUGAUCCGGGGACAGCAGGGCAGACCCUACAACCAUAGGUUACGGGACCUGAACCUCUUCAGCCUUCACAAGAGAAGGCUGAGGGGGGACCUGGUGACUGUCUAUAAACUCACUCGGGGGGACCAGAAGGGUUUGUGGGAGACCUUGUUUCCCCUAGCGCCCCCCGGGAUAACAAGGAAUAACGGCCACAAGUUGUUGGAGAGUAGGUUUAAAUUAGACCUCCGUAGGAACUACUUUGCGGUUAGGGCGGCUAGGAUCUGGAACCAGCUUCCAAGGGAAGUGGUGCUGGCUCCUACCCUGGGGGUCUUUAAAAAGCGGCUUGAUGCCUACCUGGCUGGGGCCAUUUGAGCCUAGUUUUCUUCCUGCCCAGGAAGGGGGUGGGACUUGAAGAUCUCCAAGGUCCCUUCCAACCCGACUUCUAUGAUUCUAUGAUUAUUUUUCCCGCUGGACUCCCACAAAUAUGAUCCUUAAUAAUCUUUUCAAAGACUUUUCCAAGGAUGGAGGUGAGGCUGACUGACCUAUAAUGACUUGUAUCCUCUUUCCUCCCCUUCUUGAAAAUGGGGACCACAUUGGCCCUUUUCCAGUCCUCUGGGACCUGACCCGAGUGCCACGAGUGCUCAAACAGCCGUGCCAGUGGUUCUGCUAUGACACCGGCAAAUGCCUUCAGUACUCGCGGAUGCAGCGCAUCUGGGCCUGCUAACUUAAACAUAGAUUCGUAGAUGUUAGGGUCGGAAGGGACCUCAAUAGAUCAUCGAGUCCGACCCCCUGCAUAAGCAGGAAAGAGUGCUGGGUCUAGAUGACCCCAGCUAGAUGCUCAUCUAACCUCCGCUUGAAGACCCCCAGGGUAGGGGAGAGCACCACCUCCCUUGGGAGCCCGUUCCAGACCCUGGCCACUCGAACUGUGAAGAAGUUCUUCCUAAUGUCCAGUCUAAAUCUGCUUUCUGCUAGCUUGUGGCCAUUAUUUCUUGUAACCCCCGGGGGCGCCUUGGUGAAUAAAUACUCACCAAUACUCUUCUGUGCCCCUGUGAUGAACUUAUAGGCGGCCACAAGGUCGCCUCUCAACCUUCUCUUGCGGAGGCUGAAAAGAUCCAGUUUCUCUAGUCUCUCCUCGUAGGGCUUGGUCUGCAGGCCCUUGACCAUACGAGUGGCCCUUCUCUGGACCCUCUCCAGGUUAUCCGCAUCCCUCUUGAAUUGCGGCGCCCAGAAUUGCACGCAGUACUCCAACUGCGGUCUGACCAGCGCCCGAUAGAGGGGAAGUAUCACCUCCUUGGACCUAUUCGUCAUGCAUCUGCUGAUGCACGAUAAAGUGCCAUUGGCUUUUUUGAUGGCUUCGUCACACUGCCGGCUCAUGUUCAUCUUGGAGUCCACUAGGACUCCAAGAUCCCUUUCCACUUCCGUGCCACCCAGCAGGUCAUUCCCUAGGCUGUAGGUGUGCCGGACAUUUUUCCUCCCUAGGUGCAGCACUUUGCAUUUCUCCUUGUUGAACUGCAUUCAGUUGUUUUCUGCCCACUUGUCCAACCUGUCCAGAUCUGCUUGCAGCUGUUCCCUGCCCUCCGGCGUGUCUACAUCUCCCCAUAGCUUUGUGUCAUCUGCAAACUUGGACAGAGUACAUUUGACUCCCUCGUCCAAGUCACUGAUGAAGACAUUAAAGAGUAUCGGUCCAAGGACCGAGCCCUGCGGGACCCCACUGCCCACACCCUUCCAGGUCGAAACCGACCCAUCCACCACGACUCUCUGGGUGCGACCCUCCAGCCAAUUCGCCACCCACCAGACUGUGUAGUCAUCCAAGUCACAGCCUCUUAACUUGUUCACCAGUAUGGGGUGGGAUACCGUAUCGAAGGCCUUCCUGAAGUCUAAGUAUACGACAUCCACCCCUCCUCCUGUGUCCAGGCGUUUCGUAACCUGGUCAUAAAAAGAAACUAGAUUGGUCAGGCACGAUCUGCCUGCCACGAACCCGUGCUGAUUUCCCCUCAGCAUAAUUUGUCCUGCCAGGCUCUCACAAAUGUGAGCCUUGAUAAUUUUUUCAAAGACUUUACCAAGGAUGGAGGUGAGACUGACUGGCCUAUAGUUGCCCGGGUCCUCCUUCCUCCCCUUUUUGAAAAUGGGGACCACGUUGGCCCUUUUCCAGUCCUCCGGGACUUGGCCCAUGCGCCACGAGCGUUCAAAUAUUCCCGCCAGUGGCUCUGCAGUGAUGUCGGCCAGUGCCUUCAGCACCCUCGGAUGGAGCUCAUCCGGGCCUGCCGACUUAAAGGCAUCCAGUUCUUCCAAGUGACUCUGCACCAUCUCAGGGUCUACGCAUGGAAGUCUGGCGCCAUGCUGCUGCCUCUCUACAACCCCAGUGAGAGACUUGUCGUGCCCCUCGCUUAGGAACACUGAGGCAAAGAACUCGUUGAGGAGUUCAGCCUUGUCCCCCCUGUCUACACAUCCAGUCCAUCCAAGUGACUCUGCACCACGUCAGCGUUGACAGUUGGUGGGCUGGUAUCCCUCUGAUCCCAUCUAAGAGCCUGUUAGGAGACUGAUCUUGACCCUUGUUCGAGAACACUGAGGCAAAAAACUCAUUGAAUAGCUCAGCCUUGUCCCCCCCGUCUGUCACUAAUUGCUCCUGUUUCUUCAGUAGGGGUGCUGUGCUGCCCUGCGCCUUCCUUUUACUCCCUACAUACCUAACAAUAGACGUUUUGUUGUCUUUAAUUUGUGUUGCCAGCCUCAGCUCUGUAGUUGCUUUGGCCUUUCUGCCUCCCUGCAAGUGCGGGCCAAGUAGAUACACUCCUCCUUGGUAGCUUCCUCCUGCUUUCACCACCUAUAUGCCGCCUUUUUUUUUUUGCCCUUAGGCUCUUCUAGAUGUCUGUGUUUAGCCAAGGAAGUUUUUUGGCCCCUUUCUCCCCUUUCCCUCGCACUGGGAUCAUCUCCCUCUGUGCCUGAAGGAUCACUUCCUUUAGGAACGACCACCCUUCCUGGACUCCCAUCUCGCCAAUACUCCUAUCCUGCAGUGCAUCGCUGAUUAAACUGAGCACGCUGAAGUUAGCCUUCCUAAAGUCAAGCACCUCCACCCUAUUAUUAUCUUACCCACUCUACACCGUAUGAUGAAUUUGAUUGAGUGAGUGGUGGUCACUGUCCCCGAGGUGACCACGAAUCUCUAGUUCCCCUUCCAGGUCAUCCCCCAUAGCCAACACCACGUCCAGUGGGACCAUAUACUUCCUGCGUUAGGUGAACGGUUGGAUUUGGCUGACUGCUCUUCCCAGCAGAUGUCAGGGUAGUUUAGGUCCCCCAUGACAACCAUGUCCCUAGACUGUACGGCCCCUGAGAGCUGCCUCAAGCAUUCCCAGUCUAGCUCUCCUCCUUGAUGUGGUGGUCUGUAGCAGACCCCCAUCACCAGGUCCCUUUCCCCUUGACCUCCAUGUGUCCUAACCCACAAUGCUUUAACUUUCUCUUAAGACUCCCUUCUGUGCACUCACCUGGAACACUGUCUGAAGCCAAUGAUGCUGAUGCGCAGUUCAGACUCCUCCUGCUCUCCCCUCAACUAAACAGGGAUGGGAGAAAACCCCUUCCCACUUCCCUGCAGCUGGCCCAGCUCAGCUUGCUGCUGCUGCUGGUUCCUUACCGCCGCAUAGGAGCGAAGGGCGCACACAUGCUUGCUUCAGCAUCCCAACUAAAAGUCAAAUGCUCUAGGUAAGGCUUGAACUCACAACCUUGGCAUCACUUCCCCAGUGCUGUUUUAUAAGUAUCACAUGCUAACCCACCGCACCACCAGAGCUGAGUUGAAAAGCUCUUUGUCACUAUUUUAGAGCAUUUGUUUAAAGUAAUUGUAUCUCUGCUAUUGGCUUUUGGAUUUAAUAAAGACAUUUGAACUGAA